rnacentral:snRNA from 1 species
GUCUGGCAAUGCUCACAUAUACUAAAAUUGAAACAAUACAGAGAACAUCAGCAUGGCCCCUGCGCAAGGAUGACAUACAAAUUCAUGAAGUGUUCCAUAUGUUU